AACGAACGCUGGCGGCAUGCCUAACACAUGCAAGUCGAACGAGACCUCCGGGUCUAGUGGCGCACGGGUGCGUAACGCGUGGGAACCUGCCCUUAGGCUCGGAAUAACUCCCCGAAAGGGGUGCUAAUACCGGAUAAUGUCUUCGGACCAAAGAUUUAUCGCCUUUGGAUGGGCCCGCGUUGGAUUAGCUAGUUGGUAGGGUAAAAGCCUACCAAGGCGACGAUCCAUAGCUGGUCUGAGAGGAUGAUCAGCCACACUGGGACUGAGACACGGCCGAGACUCCUACGGGAGGCAGCAGUGGGGAAUAUUGGACAAUGGGCGAGAGCCUGAUCCAGCAAUGCCGCGUGAGUGAUGAAGGCCUUAGGGUUGUAAAGCUCUUUUACCCGGGAUGAUAAUGACAGUACCGGGAGAAUAAGCUCCGGCUAACUCCGUG
rnacentral:rRNA from 1 species